GCCGGUGUGGCGGAAUGGUAGACGCGGCUGACUCAAAAUCAGCUGCCAGCAAUGGCGUGUAGGUUCGAGUCCUAUCACCGGUACCA
rnacentral:tRNA from 2 species